rnacentral:rRNA from 1 species
CAGAGGGUGCGAACGUUGCUCGGAAUUACUGGGCGUAAAGCGCGUGUAGGCGGGUCGGCAAGUCAGGCGUGAAAUCCCCAGGCUCAACCUGGGAACUGCGCUUGAAACUGCCGGUCUUGAGUAUCGGAGAGGGUGGCGGAAUUCCUGGUGUAGAGGUGAAAUUCGUAGAUAUCAGGAGGAACACCGGUGGCGAAGGCGGCCACCUGGACGAUUACUGACGCUGAGACGCGAAAGCGUGGGGAGCAAACAGGAUUAGAUACCCUGGUAGUCCACGCCGUAAACGAUGGGUGCUAGGUGUCUCGGGUAUUGACCCCUGAGGUGCCGUAGCUAACGCGUUAAGCACCCCGCCUGGGAGUACGGCCGCAAGGCUA